rnacentral:rRNA from 1 species
AUUGAACGCUGGCGGAAUGCUUUACACAUGCAAGUCGAGCGGCAGCGCGGCCUUCGGGCUGGCGGCGAGCGGCGAACGGGUGAGUAAUGCAUCGGAACAUGCCCAGUCGUGGGGGAUAACACUUCGAAAGAAGUGCUAAUACCGCAUACGUCCUGAGGGGGAAAGCGGGGGAUCGCAAGACCUCGCGCGAUUGGAGUGGCCGAUGUCAGAUUAGCUAGUUGGUGGGGUAAAGGCCUACCAAGGCGACGAUCUGUAGCUGGUCUGAGAGGAUGAUCAGCCACAAUGGGACUGAGACACGGCCCAGGCUCCUACGGGAGGCAGCAGUGGGGAAUUUUGGACAAUGGGGGCAACCCUGAUCCAGCCAUUCCGCGUGAGUGAAGAAGGCCUUCGGGUUGUAAAGCUCUUUCGGCAGGAACGAAACGGUGGGCUCUAACAUAGUCCGCUAAUGACGGUACCUGAAGAAGAAGCACCGGCUAACUACGUG